CCCCACACUCCAAACAUAAGUCUAAUUAUAAAGACAUAAGCAGAUACAGUCACAACAAUUUAUUUAAAAUACACACACACGCUAUUAAAGCAUUCCAAAUGAUCCAUUUUCUCAAGCCAUACUUUUGUGAAACACAGUGAGAUUUAAAGUUGAGAACGGCUGAAAUUACCGCCUAUGAAGUCAGUCACGUCCAAGUACACUGUAAGUCUCUGCAGGACAACAAAUGCUUGUACAAAAUCUGACUCUUCAACACCAGAUUAUGACUCACCUACUUUUGAUUGGUUCAUACACUGAGAAGACUGCUAUCUGAUUGGUUCCUGUCUCCAAAACCCACUACAGAUCCUAGUCUUGCCCCUAAACACAGAUGGGACAAGCAGGAGAGUAGUGAGGGGAAACCACACAUUAUAUAACAUAGAAUCAAUAAAAAAAGUUACUAGACUUGGUUAUUCUAUAACAUUGUGUCGAUUGUAAUGACUCUCUAGUCUAGGAUGUUGUCAUGUAGGAUGUGAUCUUUAGUCAGUCACCUAUGUUUAGAGGCAUUAUUCACAGCUAUAGCAGGAAAGGGUUUUUUACUGUAAUUAUUGAAGCACAUAUUAAGAUGGGCCUGAGGGGCUGUGUUGCAUGUGCCCUUAAGCUCAUCAAAACUACACAUUAAUUCCUCAAAUUUUCACUUAAGGUACCUACUAGAAUGGUGAGUUUUAUUCUGUGGCAGAGAAGAAAAAAAAAAAACAGAAAUUUAUAAUUUUCAGUAUAUAUCGUUUUUUUUUUUUUUNGCAGAGGUUGGAAUAUUCAGCAAGAACUGACAAAAAAGAAGCCUAUUAUUUACUGUAAUUUUAUGAAGACUUAUUAACUUUCUCCUCAUGUCAUAUUCUCCUCAGGUGCCGUGCUUGAAUCAUGGUGAGAACCUUGCUUCUGUUCAAUAACAAGGAACAUGCCUUCGUAAAGCUAUUGGUGUCAAGUUCAGAACCUUUCUGGAUAGGAGGCUAUGAUGCUGUUUCUGAGGGGACAUGGUUCCUCAAAUUUUCACUUCAGUUACCUAAUAGAAUGGUAAGUUUUAUUCUGUGGCAUAGAAGGGGGAUUCUCAGUAUAUCUCAUAAUUUUUUAUGGUGAAAAUAUGCCCCCAUAAUAACUGUAAAACAUACAGUACAUACUGAUACAAAAUAGUGAUUGAGAAAAACUUAAAUCUUUACACAUUUUCAAGAUUUAUAACUGCAUAUUUAGUAUGCUUACUAAGGCAUUAUUGCUUGCUCUUUCCCCAUGCACCCCUCACCAACUGAGAAAAUCUGACCUUACCUAGACUAAUCAGAGUGUGGGUUGGUCAUCUUGGGAGGAAGGUCCGAUUUUUGCCUUAAGCCAGAGUAUCUAAAAUGUGAUAAUUAAGACAGUAAUUAAGUUGGCCAAAUGACUGAUCUGCUAUUUAAACUGCUACUUUUUCCUCUGACACUAUUUUUUUUUAAAUGUACUUCCUCCUACAGCUUUCAAGCUACAAUAUGCUAAUAAUGCUAGAAACAGUUUAGCAACAUGCUAAUCAUGCCAACAAUAUGUUAAAUCAUGUUAGCAAUGUGUUAAAUAAUGCUAUCAACAUCUCUCUAAUCUAUCUAAACUUUAAAACUUCCAGCUUUUACAAACGCUUCUAACUUUGAAAAGGUUUUUUUUUUUUUUUUUUUCAUUUAGUACUGCCCUUCAGAAGCUACAGAAGAUACUUACAUGUUUCCUAGAAGAUAAAUAAGUUAAAUUUAACUUGAUCUUUAAAUACAAGUUUUAAUGCAUUGAUUUUCCUUCUGGAGCAUCAGUGAGCGUUUGAAUCUUCUGUAAUAGUUGCAUAUGAGUCCCUCAGUUCUCACUGGAGUAGAAAGAUGGAUCUUAAAAUCAUACAGUCACUGUUGGAAAGGGUUCAAAUACACAAAAACGCUGGAAAACCAAAGAAUUUGUGGGACCUGAAGGUUUUUUUCUGAAGAACAGCAGUCGGUUUAACUGUUCAGGACAAACAAGAGACUCAUGAACAACUAUCACUAAACAAAAAUACAGCUUUGGAUCAUUCAGGUAACAACACAGUAUUAAUCAGUUGUUCACUGUUCUCUCUUUCUCCCUUGUUUUAGAGUAAACUGAUGCAGAUGAAUAAUCAAAGUAAAGACCUUUUUUUCUAUUACUGAUAUACAGAAUCUGUGAAAUAGGAAAUAAGUUAAAUAAAUCCAGUCAAGGGACUAGUGUCUUUUUUGUU
ensembl:lncRNA